rnacentral:lncRNA from 1 species
AAAUUAGCUCUGUAACAUUUAGAAUAGAGAACCUCGUGAGUCCGUUUUCCUAACUGUGGUGGGUUCUCUGUGAUUGUAGGAUGACUUUGCAAAUAACCGUGAGUUUAUCACAAUGGUUGUGUACAAGACUGACGGCAAGAAAGUCUAUUACCCAGCUGACCCAGCUCCAUACAUUGAUGGGAUUCGAAUUAACAGCCCUCACUACUUGACUAAGAUAAAGCUGACCACGCCUGGGACUCACACCUUCACCCUAGUGGUUUCUCAGUAUGAGAAACAGAAUACGAUUCAUUACACUGUCCGGGUAUAUUCAGCUUGCAGCUUUACUUUCUCGAAGAUCCCUUCACCAUACA